GCUGCUCGUAAUAAUCACACACCUCUUCGUGGUGAGCAGCAGGCAACGAUCAAAGAAUCAGAAAUUCGGUAAUCGGCGAAGAUGUGAGA
rnacentral:ribozyme from 1 species